GCCUUUUCUUUCUUGCAGGACGUUGACAAAGGAACGCACGCCGACACUCCCACAUGAACAGCUGGCUGCUUCCCAGCGUCCUACGGGAGAGCUACCGGCUUCUAGGCAACGCUGCGUGUGAUCUGUGGGGGAGCCUGGCCACUCCUGGAGGUUCCAAGGUCAAAGAAACGCAUUCCGGAUGCGACGGAUUUGAUCUUGGAAAGCUGCUUUGAAGAUACGAUAGCUAUUCCCUAUUGUUCACUUUAAGGCAAACAAUGUAUACAUUUUUCUGUGUCAGGCUCCUCUGUGAAGUUAGUGAAACGGUAGCUUAGUUUGCUCCCAUCUCCUGUUCCGCCCUGCUGGUUUUCGAUUGUGCGUCACUGAAUUGCCAUCAGAAAUCCAGUCCCGACUGCGUGUGCGAGGCCAGGGAGGGAGGUGAGAGGCGGCCUCUCGGACACACUCUGCCAUGGGCCGGAAGCAGGAGGCACCCUCUUUGUGAUGAUCUCUGAGAGCUAAGGAGAGACUCCAGCACCACCCUUUCUCCUGGUGCCCUGUCCAUAACUAAGUGUCCAGAAGUCUCCUCCACAGGCAUUUUCUCUGCUCAUUCUCCUAGUAAUCCUGUGAAGGAGACGUGUUCUCCAUUCUAUAGGAGAGGACUCUGAGGUUCAGAAAACUCAAGUCAGAGAAAGCAUGAGGUUGGACUUCGCUUCUUGGCCCGGGUCGGACUGUAGGCUGCUGCUGGAGCUGUGCGGCUUUGGGUAGGUGGCCUGGGCACUAUGUGUUCACCAAACGCACUUCCCUUCCAUCCUGGGUGCAAGGCGACCUCCGAUCCCAGCCUUUCCUGUUGGGCUCAGCAAUGGAAACAAGCAGUGGGGCCCUGCGCUCCAUGCAGGGUGGAUCUAGAACCUUCCGAGGACUUGAAACCCUCAGAGGGGGACAGGGUGGGGAGACACAGAGAAGGCCCAGGAAUGACCUUGUGGGAAGUCGCUUAUCCACCAGGAACUCUGGUGCUGAACUUUUUCUAAGCGAAAGUUAACUUCUGUUGGAUUAAGACCCUGAAGAUUGGGCUUUAACACCUGUUGUGUUACCUGCACUCAAACAAACCAGGGCUCCUUACUCAGCCCUCGGGAGCCUUGGCAUUCUCACCUCUAAAGCAGGAGGAGUCGUGAUACCUGCCUUGAGGAAUUUGAGCAAAGUUAAACGACCUGAACUAUUUGGGCGUUUCUUGACCAAUGUCCGACCUUGGGAGGUGCUGGAUGAAUUUUUAUUUCUCUACUUUAAGUCAGCCUUUCUACCUUGUUGCUCUUCUCAGCUGCCUUUCUCUGAGCCUCCUUCAUCACUCUGUUCAUUUCUGUGAGACAAAGAUCAUUACAACUGCCUUAAUAUUUCGGUGCAAGACGCACCGUGACCUGACAUUGCUCUACCCCGCCUCCUGCCACGAUCAUUCUUUUGUAGCAAUAUUCCGCCAGCUUCAUUUCAUGCAGUGAGUGGAACAAGAGUCAGAACACCAGGGCGGCUGAGCCUAUCGAUCAAGCCUCCACCUAAUGACAGACAUACUUGAGUCCCACAGUCAUAAGGAGGAUGAAGUCUCUCUCUGGCUGGACCUGGACUGCAGUCACACUCUAAGAGCUCCUCUUUCUACACCUCUGCCAGUGGGCGUUCGGUCAGAGACAAGCUAUGGCACCGGCUCCCGGACGCACGGGAGGACUCCUACCAGGGACAGAGUCCGCACAGGUGACCUGAGUGGCUGUGCACAGCCUUUGCUUCUGAGACGUGCCGGGAGCAGGUAUCUCCGCAGGCCCAGGCGCCUCUGGCAGCCUUCAGAGCAGGGCCCUCUUCAACAAGGUACCAGAGCAAUGAGGAAGCAGGACCCAGACCCCUGACUCCUAACUCCAGGUGAAGUCCACCCUGAGCUCAGGAGCAGAGCUGCCUCCAUCGGGUGUGGAGAGACAGAGCCUCCUCCCCAGCCAUGCCUCCUCAUCGGCCCACGGGAGCUGCUGUGACUCUGACCCCUGUACCUGGCUCUGUCGACCGGAAUAGUCAGUGGGCAGCCAGCACACCUUUGGGUGCUCUGUAUGAGUGGGAUUUUCUCCUGAUUAGACAUUUUAAAAGAUUGUCAACAAAAAGAACAAACUCUGUAAAAUAUUGGAGAGAUUUAUUUCGAGCCAAACGUGAGUGACCACAGCCCGUGACACAGUCCUCAGGAGACCCGGAGAACGUGUGACCCAGGUGAUCAGGGCACAGCUAGGUUUUAUACAUGCUAUAGGGCAUAAGGCAUCAAUCAAUACAUUUAAGCUGUACAUCAGUUCAGACGGGAAAGGUGGCACACCAGGAAGCAGAGGCUUCCAGAUCACAGGCAGAUUCACAGAUUUUCUGAUUGGCAGUUGGUUGAAAGAGUUUAUCUAAAGACCUGGAACCAAUAGAAAGGAAAUAUCUGGGUAGGAUAAGGGGUUGUGGAGACCAAGGUUCUUAUUACGCUGAUGCAGCCUCCAGGUAGAAGACUUACAGAGAAUCGAUGGUAAAUGUUUCUUAUCAGACUUAAAAGGUGCCAGAAACUUAGUGGAGUAUUUCCUGGAUGAGGAAAAAGGCCUGGAAAGGGAACAGGAUUUUCUACAGAAUAUAGACUUUCCCCACAUGAGACAGCUCUGCAGGGACAUUUCAAGAUAUGGCCAAGAAACAUAUUUAGGGUUAAAAUAUUUGGAUUUUCUUCCUUAUCUGUCAUGUGAGGUUACACCAGAGUAAGGUUGGAAAGAGCCGAGUUACACAGGGUUAAUAAGACCCCUCCAAUGAGGCUUUGUGGUUUGUAGGGUGACCUCCCCAGGCCCCUUAGGUAGGAAUUUGGGCAGGAGAGAAAAAAGGUCAGAGUUUAGUCCUCAAGGCACAGACUUAUGUUCUUGACCCUCCUUCCAUCUGGUGGUACAUUCAGGCUAACGGAAAAAUCCUACAUAUUCCACGUUGGAUCCGUCCUCCCUCCUCCUGACUAAAGGGUUCUAGGUGUGUGUGGUGAUACAGCUGGGAUGGUUAUUCCUUCCGGAAGCUUCAUCCUGUUUUUCCUCCUUCUGAUGUCCAAAUUCCUGCCUCACACACUGGGGUCUUUUGCUUUGUCAUUCACACAUUAACACAAGGCCUGGAUGCAGAAGGCUGAUUCCUGUUAGUGCCUGUGAUGGCAGCAGUGGGCCAUCUGGUGCGGCCUGGCCCCUGCCCGCACGCAGACUGCUGCGGGGCGUGUGCAGGGAGGAGGUGGACAGCCCCCUCCCUCCACCCGCUGCCCUGGGGGCCGCCGGGAUGGAGCUAGGCGGGGUCCAGUUCACCCACCGGCGGGGCAGCCGUGCAGUGGGGCAGUAGCUCCUCCGACAGAAAGGGGCCUGAUGAGGGCUGGGCCGCACUUCGGGGAUCCGGGGCAGGAAGGGAUAGUGACACCUACUCAGGGGACCUGGCCAGCUGGGCACCCACUGUGCCCACCCCACAGAGGGUGCCGGGUUCCUGGGUCGCGGGAGGAGGCUCUGCGUGGGGGCUGCCCAGACCGUAUCCUUGGAGUCCGCCUGGCGUCGGGGUGACCACCAAGCCUGCCAUUCCUGAGGGCGGGGCCUGAGGCCCACGAUCCACUCUGCCCUGGGCCACCCCUGAGUACGGGGGCAACAGGGGGAGCUCGUGGUAAUGUUGCCCCUGCCCUGGACGCUGGCCUGAGCCCAGCAAGGAUCAGGAGCCCCUGCCUCAGGCUGCAAGGGGUCACAGUUGGGGCUGUGUGCCCCACGGAGUGGGUGGGAGCCAGGAGCAGGCAGCAGCACCGCCAAUCUCUCCCGCGCGGCUGCAGCCGCCCGAGUUGGGGCGGUAGACACGAGCCUCUGUGUGCUCUUGGAGGGCUGAGGGUAGGCAGGAGCCGUGCGCUCCUGGGUGCUGUGGCACUCCAGGGUGCCGCCCAAACUGGGGAUGCUGACCUGACCUCCUAAUCCAGGCGGGUAGGAGCCCCACCCUCCUGGACAGGGCUGCAGCCGCCCAUGUUGCGGCUGCAGAUCUGAGCCUCCCUUUGCUCUUGGGUGGGUGGGGGCAGGCAGGAGCCCUGCAUGCUCCUAGGCACUGCUGCGCUCGCGGAAGCCGCCCGAACUGGGGCUGCAGACAGGGGCCUCCAGCUCCAUGGCGCAGGCAGGAGCCCCCACCCUGCACACCCGCAGUCGCCCAAAUCUGCCGCUGCAGCCUCUGGCAUCCCUGCACUCUUGGGGGCCGGGAAGGCCACGCCUACCCUUGGGGGCUUGGAAGUGCCUCCUCCCGCUGCCUGGGUUCUCCCUACUAUAAGCCCCUCUCUGAUCUUGGUACAAAGUCAGGGCAAGCCCCAACACCAUGAAUGGCAGGGAUGUGAGACCCAGGCAGUUUAGGUGACCUGCUCAAGGACGCACGCUGUGCACAGUGGCUGAGCCUGCUCCUGUCACGUCCCAGGAGACUUCAGAGUCCUCGUGAUCCCAGCUGUGCUGUGCUCCUCCUUCCGCUGUGGGUCCAAGGCAUGGUUUAUACCAGGACUCCUCCAUGUUUGGGAAACCUUCACGGGGCACCGCUGCUGUUAUUUCUCCUCCCUUUCUUAAGUUUAAGCAAAAAGUUCCAUCCAUGGGUAGCAUUCUUUACAACUUAGACUCGUCAAUGAUCAGCAAGAAUUUAGACUUUGUCAAUCUCAAGAAAAUGAUUAUAAAAUCCAGACAGUGUUCCAGGGCUAUCUGACAAGCAAGAACACCAGUAACUUAGUUCAUUAGAUGCCUUCCAGCGACAGGAUGCUACUUAGACAAGUUCCCCUGAAACUCAGGGCUGCAAGUCUCUAGAUUGAUUAUCUGCAAAUGCAGCCAUCUGCUUCCUGCUGUGACACUUCAUUCCUCCGCCCUGGCUGCACUGCAGACAGACGCUGGGGAGACCUCGCCUUCUCAGGGUGGCACUGUGUGGAAGCCAGGGCUCACCCGGCUCUGUUCCCACAGGGUGGGAGUUUUUCAUUUUAACAGUUACAGAAUCAUCUACACGGAUGUCACCCUGAGAGUUGUAAUCCCCAGGAGAAGUUGUCAUCCAUGUCACUAGCACAGCUUGCUGUGUAUUCUGUUUUGAUUUGGGCUUUGAUUUUUAAUUAAUUCUAGUGAAAAUCUUUUAAUGAAAAUCUUUGCUUCAAAUUUGAAAAAGGUAGACAGCAACCUGCAACACACAGGCAGAUGAUCAAUAAAUAGUCCUCUCACUGAAGAGUGGUGUGAAUUCGCUAGUUAAGACAUACCUAUUAGAUAUGUUUAAAAAAUGUGUUUCAAUGGAAAACUGUAACACAUACUUCUGGGUUGUUCAUUGUCUUUGAACUAUUUUACAAUUCUUUGCAAAUUGCAGGUAACUGAUGGAGAUAUAUAGACAUAGAUCGAUCUAUCUAUCUAUCUAUCUAUCUAUCUAUCUAUCUAUCUUCUGCCCUGUCUAGUAGUGAUUUUUACUGGCUUCUUUCUCCUGUAAAAAAUUUGAAAAUAAAUAAAUAAAAAAGUUUUCUUUCCAUUUGCAACUCAUUUCAAAAUUCCUUUACUCCAUAUAAAUUUGUAUUGUUUUCACUUUUCCUUUAAACUAUUUCUAACAUCUGCCUAGUUCCCUUCUAUCAUAUGUGUAAAAUAAAAUCUUUAAGAGUUGUGUAUUUUAAUAUCUUGGUGCAAGUCAUUGUUUUACCUUUUUCUGAAAAUUAUCUUUCAG
rnacentral:lncRNA from 1 species